UACAGAGGUCUCAAGCGUUGUUCGGAAUUACUGGGCGUAAAGAGCGCGCAGGCGGUCGAUCAAGUCGAGUGUGAAAGCCCCCGGCUCAACUGGGGAGGGUCAUUCGAUACUGAUCGACUCGAAGGCAGGAGAGGGUAGUGGAAUUCCCGGUGUAGUGGUGAAAUGCGUAGAUAUCGGGAGGAACACCAGUGGCGAAGGCGACUACCUGGCCUGUUCUUGACGCUGAGGCGCGAAAGCUAGGGGAGCAAACGGG
rnacentral:rRNA from 1 species